rnacentral:tRNA from 1 species
AUGGGUAUAGCUCAGUGAUAGAGCACAUGCUUAGCAUGCAUGAAGUCCUGGGUUCAGUCUCCAGUAUCUCUG